UACGUAGGGGCCGAGCGUUGUCCGGAGUUACUGGGCGUAAAGCGCACGUAGGCGGCUUUGUAAGUUAGAGGUGAAAGCCCGGGGCUCAACUCCGGAAUUGCCUUUAAGACUGCAUCGCUAGAAUUGUGGAGAGGUAAGUGGAAUUCCGAGUGUAGAGGUGAAAUUCGUAGAUAUUCGGAAGAACACCAGUGGCGAAGGCGACUUACUGGACACAUAUUGACGCUGAGGUGCGAAAAGCGUGGGGAGCAAACAGG
rnacentral:rRNA from 1 species